AGUGAACGCUGGCGGUAGGCCUAACACAUGCCAGUCGAACGGCAGCACAGUAAGAGCUUGCUCUUACGGGUGGCGAGUGGCGGACGGGUGAGGAAUACAUCGGAAUCUACUUUUUCGUGGGGGAUAACGUAGGGAAACUUACGCUAAUACCGCAUACGACCUACGGGUGAAAGCAGGGGAUCUUCGGACCUUGCGCGAUUGAAUGAGCCGAUGUCGGAUUAGCUAGUUGGCGGGGUAAAGGCCCACCAAGGCGACGAUCCGUAGCUGGUCUGAGAGGAUGAUCAGCCACACUGGAACUGAGACACGGUCCAGACUCCUACGGGAGGCAGCAGUGGGGAAUAUUGGACAAUGGGCGCAAGCCUGAUCCAGCCAUACCGCGUGGGUGAAGAAGGCCUUCGGGUUGUAAAGCCCUUUUGUUGGAAAGAAAAGCAGCAGGUUAAUACCCCGCUGUUCUGACGGUACCCAAAGAAUAAGCACCGGCUAACUUCGUG
rnacentral:rRNA from 1 species